GUGGAUUAGAUACCCGGGUAAUCCAUGCCGUAAACGGUGGGCGCUAGGUGUAGGGGUCUUCCACGACUUCUGUGCCGCAGCUAACGCAUUAAGCGCCCCGCCUGGGGAGUACGGCCGCAAGGCUAAAACUCAAAGGAAUUGACGGGGGCCCGCACAAGCGGCGGAGCAUGUGGAUUAAUUCGAUGCAACGCGAAGAACCUUACCUGGGCUUGACAUGGACCGGAUCGGCGUAGAGAUACGUUUUCCCUUGUGGUCGGUUCACAGGUGGUGCACGGCCGUCGCCAGCU
rnacentral:rRNA from 1 species